rnacentral:tRNA from 1 species
GUGCUGGAGAAAUAGCUCAGUUGGUAGAGUGCUUGCCUCACAUGCAUAAGACCGGGGAUUCAAACCCCAGCAACACA